GAUCCUGGCUCAGGAUGAACGCUAGCUACAGGCUUAACACAUGCAAGUCGAGGGGCAGCAUGAACUUAGCUUGCUAAGUUUGAUGGCGACCGGCGCACGGGUGAGUAACACGUAUCCAACCUGCCGAUGACUCGGGGAUAGCCUUUCGAAAGAAAGAUUAAUACCCGAUGGCAUAAUUCUUCCGCAUGGUAGAACUAUUAAAGAAUUUCGGUCAUCGAUGGGGAUGCGUUCCAUUAGGUUUGG
rnacentral:rRNA from 1 species